GCUCUUAUGAAGUUAGCGGCGGACGGGUGAGUAACACGUGGGUAACCUGCCCAUAAGACUGGGAUAACUCCGGGAAACCGGGGCUAAUACCGGAUAACAUUUUGAACCGCAUGGUUCGAAAUUGAAAGGCGGCUUCGGCUGUCACUUAUGGAUGGACCCGCGUCGCAUUAGCUAGUUGGUGAGGUAACGGCUCACCAAGGCAACGAUGCGUAGCCGACCUGAGAGGGUGAUCGGCCACACUGGGACUGAGACACGGCCCAGACUCCUACGGGAGGCAGCAGUAGGGAAUCUUCCGCAAUGGACGAAAGUCUGACGGAGCAACGCCGCGUGAGUGAUGAAGGCUUUCGGGUCGUAAAACUCUGUUGUUAGGGAAGAACAAGUGCUAGUUGAAUAAGCUGGC
rnacentral:rRNA from 1 species